ACUGGAAAAGUUAUACAGUGAAUCUUUACUAUAGCAUUCAGGUUGAGAAUAAACAGAUACAGACUAAAGUUGCAUAGCCAAACAAAGCUCUUUAAUUAAAAUACAAUUAAAAUACAAUUAAAAGACAUAUUUAGUGACGUUACAGUGGAAUAAGUCUGGGUUUGUCAGUUUAAGGCACACGUUUAAAAGAAGGCAUCGUCCCAGAGGCAAAGCUUUAUCAUACUGUUUUAGACAUACAACUUCAGAUAUGACAGAAACACAUAUAUUAUUAUUAUUAUUAUUUAAACUCUAUGAUGCACUAUUUUGAUACAGGCCGCUACAGCCACAGUUAAACACACUGAACUUUUACAGCAUUUUAGAUUAAAUAGAUCCCGUCCCGUCUAUCGGUCCCUUAUAUCUGAUAAUGUUAAACAGCCAUGUGCAUGAUUUAAAAUACAAAAUAAUCUUAUGUUAAAGUGAUGCAACUGUAAAAUAUGAUUAAAUAUAUGUAAUAAAGCAGUAUAUGUAUCAUUGCAAUGUUAAAUGCUGCUCAAUGCAACGAUGAGCCAAAACAUUAUGACCACUUUUCAACCCAGGACUAACCCAGGUCUAACCCAAGAGGACUAAACCAGGUCCAACCCAUGACUAACCCAAGACUAAACCAGGACUAACUCAUCUCUGACAGAUACAGACCAGUGCAAACAGGGACAUCCCAACCAUAGCUGCACUAAAUCAGGGCUAAAUCAGGUCUAAACCAAGACUAAACAUGCACUUUCUCCUCUAUCUUCCCAGUAUUUCUGAGCCUGUGGUCUGUGGUCAUAAUAUUUUGGCUCAUAUGGACUCUAGCUGAACUUGUCUUGCAGAUAUUUGAUGCAGAAAUGUCAAAUGUUCUGAGAAUAAAAACUCCCUAGUAGUUAUUAACAUGGAAGGUCUCUAGCGCCCUCUAGUGCAAACGAACAGAAAUCACCACCCACGUUGAAGCGUGACCUUUACUUUCCAAUUGCCUAAUAGUAGUAACAUAUUUGAACCAUUAUAAAAGCAAUUAUAAUGUAAACUAGAUAUGGCAACAAGGUAAAAAUAUACUCAACGUGCUAAUACCGUUUUGAUUUAAUUUCACAGGAAAAAUGAUUUAAAAAAUGUAAAAAAUAAAGGUUUGUGCAGUGACUGUUUGCUUGUACAUGACCUGCAAGACACAAAUAUGCAAAAAUAGUCACUGCAAUGGAUGGAGACGAUUCAGACUGCUUAUCGAUGCUUACACUGCAAAAAUAUCUACACGAGUUAAAAUGACAUGAAAUAAAAUGAUUCAUCUAGAUCGGAUUUGAAGUAAAAGUUUAGAUUUGUUUUGUAAGUUACUACUCAAAGUGCAUUUGACAGACUUAUAU
ensembl:lncRNA